rnacentral:rRNA from 1 species
AAAAUUUUAUUUGAAUCUUAGAUUUUAGUGAAAACGCUAAAAUAUAUCUUUUAGACGAUAAGACCCUAAAAUCUUUUUAUUUUUUAUUGGGAUGAUCCGAUUUUUAACAAACUCUCUUUAAAUUUCACGAACCUUAAAUAAGCUUAAAGCUUAAGAUACUUUAGGGAUAACAGCUUUUAUUCUUUAACAAGCUCUCAUUAAUAAAGUUUUAAAGACCUCGAUGUUGAAUUAAUCCCYYYUGGGCCGCAAARGGCCAUUUYCUUUA